CCAAAGACGUUACAGAAGCUGAGGAUGAAUUGCACCCUAAAACAGAAAACAUAAAGGAAGGGGCCACAAGCUAAGAAACACAGGUGGCCAAUAGAAGCUGGAAAAGGAAAGGAAACUGCUUCUUCCCUCAGAAAAUCCAGAGAAAAACAGUCCUGCUGACCCCUUGACUUCAGCUCAAUGAAGCUCAUUUUGGACUUCAAACCUCCCCAGAACUGUAAAAGAAUAAAUUUAUGUUGGUUUAA